CGUCGGGGGAGGGGAGAGAGAGGGCGAAGUCUCCGCCCCUAACCGGGCGGGUAAGAACGGAAAUCGCUUGCUGAAGAAGAGGAAGGACCGAUUUCCUUUGACGCUUGGGACCAGACCAAAAGGGAAAGCCCAUUUUCCCGCCUCCGCUGGUUCCAUCCCUACUUAGGUAGAAGGCUAAGUGUCAGGAAAAUAUGGGCGCUAACGGAAUCAGUCUCCAGCUCCAAACUGUACUGAGUGGAGGGGCAAGGAAAGAAUGCAAGAAAGGUCCGGAGAGCCCGGAAGAGCCGCCAUGUUACCGGAGUCCUAAGACUCGGCGGGAGCCAGAGCCCAGCAGGACCUCGUGGCGCAACGGUAGCGCGUCUGACUCCAGAUCAGAAGGCUGCGUGUUCGAAUCACGUCGGGGUCACGGCUUUUUAUUUCUGAAGUCGCUGGCUUGUGUAAACCUAGGUGUAUUCCCGCCAAUUUUUGAAAAAUAUCUUUCGUUUUAGGAUUCAAUGUUCAUUGAUCAAAUGUUAUCCUAGUAGUACUUUGUCUGCAAAAAGACAAGGCUAACUGAAUAUCGUAGAGCCUGAAAGCUUAUGUUUUUAUGUACCCUUAGGCCUUGUAAAGUGAGUUUUCUGUCGCUUAACGUUCGUAAUGUGUAGAAAUGAGGACUUUCUGUUGUGCAUUAGUGGGCAUACCUAUCCACUGUGGUCCUUCACAGGAAAUGUACAAUGCAGUGUCCAAGCUGUUUUUCCAAAACCGGUUUCAGACCCGUUCGCCUUUUGAAAGCAAGUACGAGACAGCACAAUUUCUAACUCUGAAUGUUGUGAUAGUUUACGUGUUUUAACCCCGUGAGCCAGGCACCGUAAACAACCCCAAAACGUAAUUAAAUGUCACUUUUACAGGUGAAACUGUGGCACACAGAGGAAUAGUGACCUGCCAAGGGUCGCCCAGGAUUCCAACCCAGAUUAGCCCUGAGCUAACAUCUGCUGCCAAUCCUCCUAUUUUUGCUGAGGAAGACUGGCCCUGAGCUAACAUCCGUGCCCAUCUUCCUCUACUUUAUAUGUGGGACGCCUACCACAGCAUGGCUUGCCAAGCAGUGCCAUGUCCACACCCGGGAUCUGAACUGGUGAACCCUGGGCCACCAAAGCACAACGUGUGAACUUAAC
rnacentral:tRNA from 1 species